rnacentral:lncRNA from 1 species
CAGUUAAAAGUGGUAUUACUUAUCAAUUUAUCUAUUGCCCUCGUCAUAUCGUAUGCGGUAUUCCUUGGUGGAGUAGACAGAACCGAUAAUGAGGAAACAUGCACAGCUGUAGCGGCGAUACUGCAGUACAUAUAUCUAGUCGUUUUCUUUCUGAUGUUGGCAGAGGGUAUCGAAAUUUCAGUUAAAUUCUUGUAUGUAUUCACAACAGAGUCGAGAUUAAAAUGGAUGUUACCGUGUGCCUGGCUGAUACCGGCCUUGAUUGUUGGCAUAUCUCUCGGAGCAACACGACUAAGAGGAUACGGGAACGAACAAUUGUACGAUUUUUAUUC